AGCCUUUGUAAUCGGUGCCGAGAUUUUAUCAGACAACAGACCUUCAAUACUGAUUAGAUUCCCAAGAUACGUGGAGCG
rnacentral:pre_miRNA from 1 species